rnacentral:tRNA from 1 species
CGGUGAAUAGCACAGCUUGGUAGUGCGCUCCGUUUGGGACGGAGAGGUCGUGGGUUCAAAUCCCUCUUCGCCGACCA